UCCGUGUUUUACGGAACCGAAUUUUGUACUAAAAUUUUGUGCCAGGUUUUUUGAACUUUUUUUUAGGUAACGUCAGGCGAACGUUUUUUUGUGGCGUUUCUGUUUAGAAACAUUACUAAACUUAGAUUAUUUUUGAAAAAAAGAAUAGUUAAACUUGAUUAAUAUAUAACAUUUAUGUGUGGUUGGUAAUUUUUGUAUUGCUUUUAUUUGUAUUAAAAACUUGGUUGUUGUUCUCACAUUAAAUUAUUGUCAAAGAAAUGCUCAGAUAGUUUGCAAACCUACCCAGAUAGUUUUUUACAUAUAUUUUUUAUCUACCUACCAAAUUUCAUUGAAAAAUAUUAUUGAGCAGAUAGUCUAUAAAAGUGAGCAGUUUUGGUACCUCAUUUCUGUUUUUCUGAUUUCCGUAAGUGGGUGGUAAGAGGGGUACAAACAAGUUGAAUUUUAUUUGUGUGACUUGUUUAUAGUUUCUAAAAUUUUAUUGGUUUCAUUGAAAUUGAAAACAUAAGCGUUGAUUACUAUAAUUCUAGCUAUAGGUUGUGGGUAACCAUUACCACCCUAUUUAACAAACUUUUCAACUUAACCAAAAUUUACGAAUAGCAGCGGAAAGACUUUUUUUUCAAAAGUAGCCUCAGUUGUGGUCUUUAUCUUUAGCUUGUAGGUUAUACUUGGUGCAAAAAGCCUAAUUCAGGUUUUAAAUUGUUAACUUAUUUUAAAAUAAUUAUAAUUGUUAUUAUAAAGAUUUAUUUAUUUUACUUAUUUAUUUUUUUAGGUUGGGGGGGGAGGGGGGGCACACGCGCCUCCCACAAGUCAAUAAGCACACCACCAAUAAAUGAAUUUCUUGUAGCAAAAAAAAAUUUUAUGUUUUUUAUACUGUAUACUAGUUUCACUUAUUUUAUUAAAUAUAGAAAUAUUUAUUUAUUUAUAAUUAGAGAAUUAAAUAUUUUUGAAAUUAGGGUGUGUUAAACCAUCACCACCAUAUCCACCACCAACUUUAAUAAACAUCAAUCAUUGAUGGUCUGGAAUAAAAUUAUAGCAAUUUUUUGUAUAAAAAAAAUAACCGUUAGUUGAAAAAAAACACUUUUUAUUGAAAGAAAUAUGCUUAUUUUUAGGGUAAAGGUGGUGGUUCGGCACCCCCUCUAGCCCCCAGGAAACGCUUAAUAGGUGGACGAUGUUAUAAAUUUGUAGCCCACAGUUACACCUAUCUUUUGAUACUAAGUUAUAGGUAUUUAGACAAGAAUUGACAAAGUUAUAACAAUUUAAGUAAAGAAAAAUUAAAUUUUGACCACAGUUUCUUCAA
rnacentral:lncRNA from 1 species